GUGGACUUACUGUGCGCUCGUCCAGGGGCGUCUUUCCACUCCACCAAGGAAAGAAUACCUUGGCCACCAGGGCUGAGCAGGGGAGAAACAGGGAGGAACCCAGAAACAAAGCUUUGGCAGCUGCUAGGAACGGCCCUGAAGUCCACCCCUGCGGCCAGGAAGCCAGGAGCAAUAGGCUUCUCGCAGGCUUCCCAGGUGUCAUCAUGGCGGGGGCUCCACUUGGGAAAGCCUCCGGAACGAGAUACCGCGAGAAACGCAGCUUCAUGUUGACGCCAAAAUCUGUUGUUGAAAGUGGGUCCAGGUGACCACAGCUCAAAAGCCAACAAAGAGGCAAGACUGGUGGAAAGGAAAGUUUGCUUGUUUUCAAAGAUUUUCUACGUAUGAAAGACUGGCGAAGGACGUGGCGGGGAAGGACCAUAGAGUCCUGCUCUGUAUCAGUUUCUCUUCUGGACCUGACUGGUGUGUCUCUUCUAUCUGUCUGUUCCUGAGCUCUGCUCCUGCUGCUGCUGCUAAGUUGCUUCAGUUGUGUCCGACUCUGUGCGACCCCAUAGACAGCAGCCCACCAGGCUCCUCCGUCCCUGGGA